rnacentral:rRNA from 1 species
AUGACGGCUGCCAUCUGGGAUAUCACCCAGGCGGUCACAGGCAUCUACACGUUCCUCACGAGAUUCUAUGGGCCGCAGCCGCCUGUGCCCUUCGCCACCGCCUCGCCGCCGUGGCAGCCGCCAUCCUUGGCAACCCCCAUCGCCGCCGCCAUGCAGCAGCUGCCGUGGCAGCCGCCACCAGCGACGAACCCCGGCGCCUCCACCAUGCAGCAGGGGCAACAGUUGCAGCCGCCGCCACCGGCGACCGCGGCCCUGAGCAUCCCGACGACUGGCCCGGGGGUGCCCAUCCACCAGAUCCCGUUUCCCCUGUCGUCGUCCCCGUUACCGGCCUGGCUUGCUGGGUCCCUUAAGCCGGUCUACACGACGGCCUCAGUCGGGCCGCACGUGCUGCCCCCGCCGGCGACGCACCCAGCCAUGCCGUUUGGCGGGUCCUCGGGCUCCGCCGAGCCCUUCGCCGGCGUCGAUGGGCCCCUGUUCCAGGGCGGCACCCUGAUGCCCGCCUACUCGGCCCCGUCAUCCUCGCUGCUCCGUGCUGACGAGGCGCACCCGCCCGUCGUCCACGUCCAGACGCCGCCGAGAUUUUCCAAGCUAGAGUUCGCGACCUACGACGGCACCGUCGACCCCCUGAAUUGGCUCAACCAAUGCGACCAAUUUUUCAUGGGACAGCGCAUGCUCGCGUCCGACCGCACCUGGAUCGCCUCGUAUAAUCUCCGAGGAGCCGCGCAGACGUGGUGCUAUGCCCUCGAACAGGACGAGGGCGGCAUGCCACCAUGGGAGCGCUUCCGCAAUUUGUGCCUCUUGCGCUUCGAUCCGCCUAUACGCGGGAGCCGUCUGGCGGAGCUUGGGCGUCUUUCGUUCCUCACCUCGGUGCAAGACAUCGCGGACUGCUUCGAGGCACUGGCGUGCCACACCCCCGGCGUUUCGACUCGUCAGCGGGCUGAGCUCUUCUUCGGCGGCCUACCAGACCCCAUCCGCGUGGACGUGGAGAUGCGCGGGCCACAAGACCUCCAGACGUCCAUGUACUACGCCCGCGCGUUCGAGCGUCGCGCGGUGGCCAUCCAGCAGGCGCCACCGCCCCGGGCCGCUGGGCCACCACCCUGGCCGGAAGUUUCCGCGCAGGGUCGGCCUGCCCAGGCUUCCGCGGCGCCCCUCACCGCGGUUGCGGCACGCCCAUUCCGCCGGCUCACCCCGGCCAAGCAACUCGAGCGUCGCCGUCAAGGGUUGUGCUUCAACUGCGACGAGCCCUACGUACCGGACCACGUCUGCCCAUGA